rnacentral:rRNA from 1 species
UACGUAGGGUGCAAGCGUUAAUCGGAAUUACUGGGCGUAAAGCGUGCGCAGGCGGUUAUGCAAGACAGAUGUGAAAUCCCCGGGCUUAACCUGGGAACUGCAUUUGUGACUGCAUAGCUGGAGUACGGCAGAGGGGGAUGGAAUUCCGCGUGUAGCAGUGAAAUGCGUAGAUAUGCGGAGGAACACCGAUGGCGAAGGCAGUCCCCUGGGCCUGUACUGACGCUCAUGCACGAAAGCGUGGGGAGCGAACAGG